AACGAACGCUGGCGGCAUGCCUAACACAUGCAAGUCGAACGAGACCUUCGGGUCUCGUGGCGCACGCGUGCGUAACGCGUGGGAAUCUGCCCUCUGGUUCGGAACAACAGUUGGAAACGACUGCUAAUACCGGAUAAUGACUUCGGUCCAAAGAUUUAUCGCCUGAGGAUGAGCCCUCGUCGGAUUAUCUUGUUGGUGAGGUAAAAGCUCACCAAGGCGACAAUCCGUAGCUGGUCUGAGAGGAUGAUCAGCCACACUGGGACUGAGACACGGCCCAGACGCCUACGGGAGGAAGCAGUGGGGAAUAUUGGACAAUGGGCGAAAGCCUGAUCCAGCAAUGCCGCGUGAGUGAUGAAGGCCUUAGGGUUGUAAAGCUGUUUUACCCGGGAUGAUAAUUACUGUACCGAAAGCAUGAGCCCCGGCUAACUUCGUGCCAGCCGCCGCGGUAACAC
rnacentral:rRNA from 1 species